rnacentral:rRNA from 1 species
CGCAAGCGGCAGCUACACAUGCAGUCGAGGGGUAGGGGGUGCUUGCACCCCUGAGACCGGCGCACGGGUGCGGAACGCGUAUGGAACCUGCCCCUGUCAGGGGAAUAGCCCAGGGAAACUUGGAUUAAUGCCCCAUGGUAUCAUUACAUCGCAUGAUGUUGUGAUUAAAGAUUUAUCGGACAGGGAUGGCCAUGCGUACCAUUAGCUUGAUGGUGGGGUAACGGCCCACCAUGGCAACGAUGGUUAGGGGCCCUGAGAGGGGGAUCCCCCACACUGGUACUGAGACACGGACCAGACUCCUACGGGAGGCAGCAGUGAGGAAUAUUGGACAAUGGUCGGAAGACUGAUCCAGCCAUGCCGCGUGCAGGAUGACGGCCCUAUGGGUUGUAAACUGCUUUUAUACGGGAAGAAACCCACCUACGUGUAGGUGGCUGACGGUACCGUAAGAAUAAGGACCGGCUAACUCCGUGCCAGCAGCCGCGGUAAUACGGAGGGUCCGAGCGUUAUCCGGAAUCAUUGGGUUUAAAGGGUCCGUAGGCGGGCCUGUAAGUCAGGGGUGAAAGUUUGUGGCUCAACCAUAAAAUUGCCUUUGAUACUGCAGGUCUUGAGUCAUGGUGGGGUUGCCGGAACAUGUGGUGUAGCGGUGAAAUGCAUAGAUAUCACAUAGAACACCGAUCGCGAAGGCAGGUGACCAACCAUGUACUGACGCU